UACAGAGGUCCCAAGCGUUGUUCGGAUUCAUUGGGCGUAAAGGGUGCGUAGGCGGCGCGGUAAGUCGGGUGUGAAAUCUCGGGGCUUAACUCCGAAACUGCAUUCGAUACUGCCGUGCUUGAGGACUGGAGAGGAGACUGGAAUUUACGGUGUAGCGGUGAAAUGCGUAGAUAUCGUAAGGAAGACCGGUGGCGAAGGCGGCGUCCUGGACCAACACUGACACUGAUGAGCGAAAGCCAGGGGAGCAAACGGG
rnacentral:rRNA from 1 species